ACUCAAAUGAAUAGACGGGGGCCCGCACAAGCGGUGGAGCAUGUGGUUCAAUUCGACGCAACGCGAAGAACCUUACCCAGGCUUGAACAGCGAGUGACCAGCGACGAAAGUUGCCUUCCGCAAGGACACUCGUAGAGGUGCUGCAUGGCUGUCGUCAGCUCGUGUCGUGAGAUGUUGGGUUAAGUCCCGCAACGAGCGCAACCCUUGUUUGCUGUUGCCAUCACGUUAUGGUGGGCACUCUGCAAAGACUGCCGGUGAUAAACCGGAGGAAGGUGGGGAUGACGUCAAGUCAGCAUGGCCUUUAUGUCUGGGGCUACACACGUGCUACAAUGGCCGGUACAAACCGUCGCAAAACCGCAAGGUGAAGCUAAUCGGAUAAAGCCGGUCUCAGUUCGGAUAGCAGGCUGCAACUCGCCUGCUUGAAGUUGGAAUCGCUAGUAAUCGCGGAUCAGCACGCCGCGGUGAAUACGUUCCCGGGCCUUGUACACACCGCCCGU
rnacentral:rRNA from 1 species